GAUGAAGAACGCAGCAAAAUGCGAUAAGUAAUGUGAAUUGCAGAAUUCAGUGAAUCAUCGAAUCUUUGAACGCACAUUGCGCCCGCUGGUAUUCCGGCGGGCAUGCCUGUUCGAGCGUCAUUUCAACCCUCAAGCCCCCGGGUUUGGUGUUGGGGAUCGGCUCUGCCCUUCUGGGCGGUGCCGCCCCCGAAAUACAUUGGCGGUCUCGCUGCAGCCUCCAUUGCGUAGUAGCUAACACCUCGCAACUGGAGAGCGGCGCGGCCAUGCCGUAAAACACCCAACUUCUGAAUGUUGACCUCGAAUCAGGUAGGAAUACCCGCUGAACUUAAGCAUAUCAAUAAGCGGAGGA
rnacentral:misc_RNA from 1 species